UGGGGAAUCUUGGACAAUGGGGGCAACCCUGAUCCAGCCAUGCCGCGUGAGUGAUGAAGGCCUUAGGGUCGUAAAGCUCUUUCGCCUGUGAAGAUAAUGACGGUAGCAGGUAAAGAAACCCCGGCUAACUCCGUGCCAGCAGCCGCGGUAAUACGGAGGGGGUUAGCGUUGUUCGGAAUUACUGGGCGUAAAGCGCACGUAGGCGGACCAGAAAGUUGGGGGUGAAAUCCCGGGGGCUCAACCCCGGAACUGCCUCCAAAACUAUUGGUCUAGAGUUCGAGAGAGGUGAGUGGAAUUCCAAGUGUAGAGGUGAAAUUCGUAGAUAUUUGGAGGAACACCAGUGGCGAAGGCGGCUCACUGGCUCGAUACUGACGCUGAGGUGCGAAAGUGUGGGGAGCAAACAGGAUUAGAUACCCCUGGUAGUCCACACCGUAAAACGAUGAAUGCCAGUCGUCGGGUAGCAUGCUAUUCGGUGACACACCUAACGGAUUAAGCAUUCCGGCCUGGGGAGUACGGUCGCAAGAUUAAAACCUC
rnacentral:rRNA from 1 species